GGAUGUGAGGGUGAUCUGGCUGCGACACCUGUCACCCAUUGAUCGACAAGGUUGAUUCAGCUUUUCUGGCUGGGCGGGUGUCCCUUUCCACUCUCAAUACUCCAUCUGUAUCCUUCCUGAAGCUGCGCACCCAGUCAAAGAGGACAACCACCCCCGACAGACCAGGACUGUUCCUUGGUCAAAGGUUUACAAGUAGCUGUGCUCCCCUGCUAAACCUCCAAACAAGUUCUCAAGAAGGAAAAAAAAAAAAAGAGGAAAGAAAACUAGAAAAAGAAUUACUCCUUGUUU
rnacentral:snRNA from 1 species